CAGCCGCCGCGGUAAUACGUAGGGUGCAAGCGUUGUCCGGAAUUAUUGGGCGUAAAGAGCUCGUAGGCGGUUUGUCGCGUCUGCUGUGAAAUCCCGAGGCUCAACCUCGGGCUUGCAGUGGGUACGGGCAGACUAGAGUGCGGUAGGGGAGAUUGGAAUUCCUGGUGUAGCGGUGGAAUGCGCAGAUAUCAGGAGGAACACCGAUGGCGAAGGCAGAUCUCUGGGCCGUAACUGACGCUGAGGAGCGAAAGCGUGGGGAGCGAACAGGAUUAGAGACCCCUGUAGUCCCUGUCUCUUAUAC
rnacentral:rRNA from 1 species